UCUUAUUAAUUUUUAAUGGAAAAUGGCUGCGUUUCUAAUCCAAACCUCUGGAGCUGAGGGAUAAAACCUGGUCCAGCCGAGCAGUCACCGUCUACCUGCCGGUCCCAUCGGAGCCGCCGGGUGCGCGGGGAGACCUUCGCGAGCCGAGCAUCUGGAUCUCUUUGGAAGAAAUGGAUCGACUCACGCUUUGAGGGAUGAAAGAUCAUUUUUCUCCUUAACCCUUUCCACUCUGAGAUCUGCGAACAAUCGAGCAGAAGAUGAUGCGCCAGGUGACGAGCAGUGACUUCUGCAUGAGCAGCAGGCCGUCGUGCCUUGCAGAGGACGGCCACCAUCCCGCCGCCCACUAUGAGCUGUGCACCUCCCAGCCCAACAAGUUCUACUCCCCCCCUCCAUCUGCCCUCCAGAUGACGCUGGCUCCCAUGGCCUUGCCAACACAGAGCCACAAGCCAAUGGUGUGCCAGAGACAGGAAGUGCUCGGGGGUGGUGUCCGCUCAUCUGGAAAAAUACCCGGAAUUAAAGGCACAGAUCAAGCACUAGAAGAAAGCAAGAAGAAGAGCAAGGCUGUCGGGAAGACUGGCAGACGUGGGAGACCUUUGGGAACCACCAAGCUGGCCGGGUACAGAACCAGCACAGGGAGGCCACUUGGCACCACCAGAGCUGCCGGGUUCAAGACGAGCCCUGGAAGGCCUCUGGGUACAACCAGAGCGGCUGGGUACAAAGUGAGCCCCGGGCGGCCUCCUGGCAGCAUCAAGGGUCUCUCUCGCCUCAACAAACUGACAUGUGGAAGUAUCUGCAGUGGAGCGGCUUUCCCCUACCCGAUAGCACACAAGGAAAUCCUCUGUGAACCCUCCUGUAAAGAGAAGACAGCUAAUGAGUGAAAGCUGCACUCAUCCUCCAAUCAGAGACUCCAGUGGACAGGUUUUCUGACAUACUCUGGGCUGAUUGUGUGAUUUGUGCCAGUCAGCUGCGAGACCAUGAGGAGGAGGUUUUCUAUUAUUCAUCUCUGUGUCUUCUGAGCGCCUGCCACCUGAUAUGAUACUGUUAGUUUUCAGUGCUGAAGAUCUAAAGUGAUAUUCAUUUCACUUUUCUGUGUCUGUAUACCAAGAACCAAGAAACAGAGGUUCACUGAGUUUAUAUCUCACCAUGAGCGUGUUUGUUCAUGACACAUGUGUUUCAGUGUGCUUUAUGUAGCAUUUUAACGCUGUUGAAUGAUUGGGAAGAUGUUUUAUUUCACCAUAAACGAAGGAGACCAUCAUCAGACGAUUUUUAGCCGAGAUUUGUGAAAUCCACAGGGUUGCUUUGCAGCGUUAAAAACCAACACACUACUUGAAUUUCAUACAAUCUGACAUUGCUGACCAUAUUUUGCUCUUCAAUCAAACAUAUCCAAAGCGAUAGAAGAGGACGAGGGGGAACAAUAAACAGUCCCUCCAGGAUUUCGCGGGAUUUCUUUGUGAUUGUCGCGGCCCAAAAAGCCUGAAUUUGCGACAGCUUUUUGAAAAAAUUGCGGUGAAAGUUGCGAUUAUUUUUUUUUGCUUUUUUCCCCCAAUAACAUCUCAGGGGCAAGUAAAUAUGCUAAAUUACAGUUGUUUUUAGAAAGCAUUCUUGAUGUGGCCACUGACUGUAUUUUGAUUCUCUUGAUUCACAGAAAAAUGCCAUGAAAGGACUGUGUGCACAUUUACGACGGUCCCUGAAUCGCAGCGACUGAUGCACAGUCAGUUCACGCACUCUGAAAUUAAUCUACAUCUUUGAUGACAAGGAGUUGAUCCAAACUUACUGAAUGUGUCUGAUGUUUCACCAAACUGGAUUAAAUCAAGCUGUAGAUGCCGAGCUUUCUACGGUAACCACGGCAACAACGUCAAACAUCAAAUAGUAAACAGACGUCCCCCGGUUGUGUCUUUGUCACUAACGCACACCCGGGGUAAAAAUCAUCAAUGAAGAUGAGACAGAUGCAUGUAGGUGAGGAGAGCUGGUUCAUAAAGCACACCUGCUGCAGGUAGAGACCAAGCUAACACUGAGCCCCUCAAUCUAUAAAUAAUAACGUUGUCAUGGUCACUUGUCCUGCCUGCUGUCCUCUCUCUUCACCCGUUCUCUGUGCGUGUUUUGUUGUUGAAAAGUGCCGAUCAAGUGAGGACUUACGUUUAUGUUCCAAGGAUGUCAAGUUGAUGACAAAACCGAUGACGUGCAGGGGCUGAGAUUGAGGUCAUGUGUGGUGGAAAACCUUCAGACAGGGGGCGCUGUUUCUCCAACAAAAGCUGUAAGAGUCCCAUGCUGAGCCGAGGGAAUCAGUGGGACAUACUGCGAUGUAAGAGCUGAUGCUUAGAUUUGUUUUGUUCCUACAUUUAAGAUGAAUGACUUCAGACUCUCAAGGGUUCUUCACUCAACACAGAGUCUCAUUAGGUCUGUCUUUAUGUUGCUGUUUAUUAUUGAUACACUACCACAGAUCAGAACUCUUCUGUUUGAGGAGCAUGUUUGUGAAAUGUUACAUGAUGUUGUUAAAGACGGUUGCAGAGAGAUGAAAGACAGCACAGAGACAGAGGUCAGUUCUCAACACGCUCCAGCACCUCACAAACUGUGGAUCGGUGAAUGUCAGAUCUCCUGUACAUCCUUCACUGAGAGUCUCUGAGACGCUGUGUCACUGUAUCGUUUUUAUUAUUCAAAGUUUGGAUCUGAAACUAGCUCCUGAUAAACUCUGAGUGUUUGACUCAUCACACACAGACACUUCAAACUCUGUGAGGACAGACAGAGUGAAGCUUCACUGAGUUGCUCUCUCAUGACUCAAUCUGAAUCUAGUUUAAUUUGGUGCAAUAAUCUGUGGUUUGUGUCGUACUGUGAACACUUUGAUACCUUCACUUUUUAUCAUGGUUGUAUUUUUAUACUUGUGUACGAGGCCCUCUGCCUCUUGUUGUGUUGAUGUGUGUGUGGUGUUAACAGAGCUUACUCAUCAUCUGUCACAGAGAAACAUGGCCGUCACCCUCCUUUACCAAAGAACAUCACAUUAUCUAACUGUACCAGCUACUAUGCUGUUUGAUUUCUGAGAUUCACAAAAACAACUCAAACAUGGAGGUGAUUGAAGAUGUGGGUGAAGAAGCACCUGGAGACCACGACCCUCUGAAAGAUGGUAUGAUUGUUUGCAUAUGAAGAAAGUAAACUGUCUCCUCAAAGGGAUUCAAAUGUCAGUGUCUUGAAUGAAUUUUAAACAUUGAUGAUGUAAACAUGGUUGAUUAUAUUUCAUCAUAUUUAUGUCUGUCUGUUUCUCUACUUUGAAAGUAGAUCUCUUCUUUGUAUGAGACUCUCCUGUCACCGUCUUUGAUAUUUUGCUGUUUUCAUUAAUGAGGGUUAGCUCACGUGAAGUCUGGCUGUGACUCACUCUGAAGCCUGAUGGGUAAACCCUCCCUCAUUGAUGUCUCUGUUAUUCUUUUGCUGCGAUAUCUGAAGUCAGCGCUGACAUAAGGCACAGGACGUGUUCGAUUAUUAUGGGUUUGCUUCUUUAUCUCCAUGGAGUCUUUUCUUUCCUCUGCCAUCUUCAGCUUUGAGUCAACACAUGGUCUGUUGUCUGUAGGUAAUGAUUUCAAAUAUUACCUCACAUUUGGAGUGUUUUUAAGAAGCCCAGUUAUUGGCCAAGCCUGUAAAGCUUUGUAUUAUCACGUUUUAUUCCUGCAUGAUUGUUGUGGAAUGUUGAAAAGUUGUGUAAUAAAACUCAAAGUAAUGCGUUCUGCUGA